GUACAAUGGACAAGACUUGGCUUGACUCUGGAUAUGGGGGUAAUGGUGGCCCCCAGUGUCAUGGGGCUAUUCACUGAGACGGGAUUACAGAAGGGAAACAGACUGGGGAGAGAGAUAAGGAGAGCUUUCCUAGGUGCUGGGAAUGACAUGGGAGAAAGAUAACUGACCAGAUUCCCGGCUGCAUGGAAUUUAGAAUCUAGUUGUGGGGACAGGCAUACAGCAAAAAUAUGUAUAAGCCCCAUGGAAGUCAUCAACGAGUUUUUCGAAAGGAGGGAGGGGAGGCUCCAAUAACUGCUCAGGUGAGAAAUUCUUGCACUAGAGUGAUGGCAGGGGAGGUAGAGAGUAGGAGAGAUUUGAGAAGCUGUGGAGACAAUAAGCCUUGGUGAUUAACUGGGGUUAAGGAGAGGAGGGAGAAGGAAGAAAGCAGUGGGACUCCCAUCCGAGCUGCUGGGGAGGGGUUGCUGUUCACUGAGAGAGGGUCCAGGUGGGAGCAGGUAGUAUGAGGUGGUGUGACCUCCAAGGGAGGGACCAAAGAGCUGGCUGAAGAUAUGGGUCUGGCGUGGGGACCAGGUGUCAGGGCCAUAGGUGUAAUCUGGGUGUAAAUCUGGGAAACGUUAGGUGACUAAAGAUGUUUAAAGUCUUGGGCAUGAGUUGAGAGAAACUUUAGAGUGAUUGGGGAAGAAGGACCAGGACUCCCCCUGGAGACCCCAGGCUUGGAGAAUAGAUGGAGCGGGACCUAUGGUAAAAGGGCUGAGUGGUAGUUGAAACAGUGAGUCGGGCAGGGUUGGGGGUGGUAAGAUUAUUUUAGUAUGAGGGCUUGGGGGUUGGCCCCAAAGAAAAGGAUAGAAUGCCUCCAAAUAUUUGAUGACUGACCACAUGUUAGAGUGUAGACCUAUUUUGUCUACACUUGCAAUAUGGUCUUUGGCUUCACAUUGCUCAAAUCCAGAGUUGGGCAGAAAUGCGGAAAGGAUCUAGAAAGUUCCAUUCAAGGAUCCACCUUUAGAUGGACACUUGGAGGAGAUGAUCUUCCAACUCCGAAUUCCAUCACUCUAGUUAUGUCUGAAAAAGGGGGGGAAAAAGAAUUGCUUUAUUGCAACAUUAACUUUUUAACAAAAACGCUGGUAACUAGAUCCAGCCAUCGAACGUGUAUCUAUUGAACU